rnacentral:rRNA from 1 species
GAUGAACGCUGGCGGCGUGCCUAAUACAUGCAAGUCGAGCGAACAAAGUAGGUGCGUGCUCCUCUGACGUUAGCGGCGGACGGGUAAGUAACACGUAGCUAACCUACCUAUAAGACUGGGAUAACUUCAGGGAACCUGAGCUACUACCAGAUAAUAUAUACAACCGCAUGGUUCAAUAGAGAAAGACGGUUUUGCUGUCACUGAUAGGUGGAUCCGCGCCGCAUUAGCUAGUUGGUAAGGUAACGGCUUACCAAGGCAACGAUGCUUAGCCGACAUGAGAGGGAGGACGGCUAGACGGGAUGUGAGACACGGCCCAGACACCUAGGGGAGGCAGCAGUAGGGACUCUUCCGGAAUGGGGGAAAGCCGGAUGGUGCAACGUCGGGUGAGUGAUGAAGGUCCUAGGACCGGAGAAUGCUGUUAUUAGUGAAGAACAAAUGUGUAAGUAACAAUGAACGUCUUGACGGUACCUAAGCAGAAAGCCACGGCUAACUACGUG